rnacentral:lncRNA from 1 species
AUUACAUGUAUUCACUAAUACAUUUAGUUUUAAUUGCACUUGUGUUCUGUAAUUACGUUUUUUUUUAAUUAAAAAAUCAACUUGAUAUAUUAGUCUCUUCAAAUACACUUGUCUCUUCAAAGACUCUUCUAAUGGCUUUUUGUUCAUGGUAGUGAUAACGAUUGUUUAAUUUUUUCAGAUCCAAAAUGUGAACACCUUGCCAUAAAUGAAGACUAUGUGAUAUAAUUUUUAAGUAUAUUUUUAUUUCAUAGGGUUCUCCUGCUAGAACAGCAUUUAUUGCCCCUUGACUUUCCACAUAAAAUCAGAUACUUUAGCUGUUUAAGAAUUUUGAUAACAUUUCUUUAAAAAGAAAAGCUUAAAACGUGUGAUCUUCCUAGGAGGUGAUAGAGUAGAUGUAGGAAACAUCUUUGUACUUCCUUUCCUCUGAAUCAGUCUUUAUUCAUAAGGAACACUUAUGUAUUAGGUGGUAGGAAGGAAUAAAUCUGAGAAACCAAACAGUUUAGGAUGACUUUUAACUUUCAGAUAAUUGGGAUCAAUAGAAGAGGAUAAAUUUCAGAUUUUAAGAAUAAAAGCCAUUUUUAUUUAAAAAUACUGUUCUGACCCUGGGUUUGAUUAGAAAUAUGAAUUAGUACUAGUUGAUAAGAUAAGUAGGUUUUGUCAGUUCUAGUUAAUUAACCUGUAAGUGGCAAGAAAAAAAAUGUAAGCUAGUAGGGUGGACUGAGUGCCUGAAUUUUGUGCUCAUAUUUGGAGGGGGCGGGCAGGGAUACUGGAGGUAUUAAGGAUUUCCAAGGAAAAUGGGAAAGCAAAGGGCUGGGAAGUGGACAUACACAUUUGCCAAGUCUUCCCUGUGUUUAUAGGGUGUCCACGAGUCAGAACACGUGGUUUGGAUAGUGAACGCUAGGGUUCCAGAAUAUUUAAUCAUAAUUUAAAAUAAUUUAUUUUAUAGGAGCAUUGGGAUAGAUCCAGAUGUCAAGAAAACACUUAAGAAUUCUGGUAGGGGGAAAAAAAAAAGAAUUCUGGUAGGAAUACAAAUCCAUCUCACCCGUUUGGAUUUCUCAGGGCGGAAGAAAUUUCAUCUCAAGGACUUGCUGAAAACAUGUUCAAAAUGUUGAGGAGGCCACGUGAUAAAGGUUUUCAUAAAUAUUUCCUCAAACCAGAUGGCAAUGAUUCAGGGUAAAGAAGCCCUUUGAAAAUCACUGUUCUGGGUUUUACUAAUAACCUGACCCAUUCAGAAGAUGUGGGAGUUCACUUCAGGAAGCUACUGGGAAAAAUAAAAUUUGUUGAGUGAAUACCUACA